GACGAACGCUGGCGGCGUGCUUAACACAUGCAAGUCGAACGGAAAGGCCCUGCUUUUGUGGGGUGCUCGAGUGGCGAACGGGUGAGUAACACGUGAGUAACCUGCCCUUGACUUUGGGAUAACUUCAGGAAACUGGAGCUAAUACCGGAUAGGAGCUCCUGCUGCAUGGUGGGGGUUGGAAAGUUUCGGCGGUUGGGGAUGGACUCGCGGCUUAUCAGCUUGUUGGUGGGGUAGUGGCUUACCAAGGCUUUGACGGGUAGCCGGCCUGAGAGGGUGACCGGCCACAUUGGGACUGAGAUACGGCCCAGACUCCUACGGGAGGCAGCAGUGGGGAAUAUUGCACAAUGGGCGGAAGCCUGAUGCAGCAACGCCGCGUGCGGGAUGACGGCCUUCGGGUUGUAAACCGCUUUCGCCUGUGAUGAAGCGUGAGUGACGGUAAUGGGUAAAGAAGCACCGGCUAACUACGUG
rnacentral:rRNA from 1 species